rnacentral:tRNA from 1 species
GGGGUUAUAACUCAAUGGUAGAGUAUCUGUUUUGCAUACAGAAAGUUAGGGGUUCGAAUCCCCUUAACUCCA